GCCGUGGUGGCGGAAUUGGUAUACGCGCACGAUUCAGAAUCGUGUUCCGCAAGGAUUGGGAGUUCGAGUCUCCCCCACGGCA
rnacentral:tRNA from 1 species